rnacentral:rRNA from 1 species
AUUGGACGCUGGCGGCAGGCCUAACACAUGCAAGUCGAGCGGCAGCGGAAAGUAGCUUGCUACUUUGCCGGCGAGCGGCGGACGGGUGAGUAAUGUCUGGGAAACUGCCUGAUGGAGGGGGAUAACUACUGGAAACGGUAGCUAAUACCGCAUAACGUCGCAAGACCAAAGAGGGGGACAUUCGGGCCUCUUGCCAUCAGAUGUGCCCAGAUGGGAUUAGCUAGUAGGUGGGGUAACGGCUCACCUAGGCGACGAUCCCUAGCUGGUCUGAGAGGAUGACCAGCCACACUGGAACUGAGACACGGUCCAGACUCCUACGGGAGGCAGCAGUGGGGAAUAUUGCACAAUGGGCGCAAGCCUGAUGCAGCCAUGCCGCGUGUAUGAAGAAGGCCUUCGGGUUGUAAAGUACUUUCAGCGGGGAGGAAGGUGUUGUGGUUAAUAACCACAGCAAUUGACGUUACCCGCAGAAGAAGCACCGGCUAACUCCGUGCCAGCAGCCGCCGUAA